GGAUGAAGUAAACAAGAAUAUAAGACUGGAUUCUGGAGAGCUGGACUUUAAGGCUUUGUAUGUAUGAACACAUAUGGAAGGUGUGAUGAGCUGUUAAUUGGAUGUGCGUUUUUCACUUAUAUGAGGAAUGGGAACAGAACAUGGUCCCUGCACUGUGGGGUUCAGAGAAUUGCAUCAGAUGGAUAUGAACUGGGAGAGGGAUGCUGAAGGAGCUCCAUCCACAUAUGAUGGAAGAAGGGGAAUAGUUCUACUGUGGUACUGACCAGGUUCUACCUAAUGGGAGCAAAUGAGAAGAAAAUAGAGGAGGUGCCCUCAUGUCUAUACUGUUUGCACAUGUAGACAUGGAUCAUGAGAUUCACCAUUCCUUAUCCUUAACUGGUAGAACAUAAGAUCAUGACUUGCUUCCUCCAAUUAGACCUUUCAGUUUUUCUACUUACCUUGAGUCCAAUUUUCUGUGUCAUUUCUCCUCAACAAACCUAUCCUCCUUAAAUUAGGAGCCCAGCUGCCUUUUAUUAACCUUGGUGAUGUAUUACUUAUGGCAACUGUGGCACUCUGCCACAACUAAUCAUAUAAGUAGUAUUGCUUUCAAGUAGUAAUACAUUCUAAAUCCUAAAAUUAUCUCAGUAUUGAAUGAAUGGAACUGAGUUACAACUAUAAUAGGCCACAUAUAAGUAACAGAUAAAGCUCGUUAGAAAUUAUUUGUUGGAACAGUUGGAACAGUUGUAUAUUGGAAAAUGCCAAUUCAGCAAUAGGGUUUUCUCAUUUUUGUUUUUUUUAUGAAGUCAUGUAAACUAAUGAAAUGUUAUAAUAUAUAAAGUUUUGUCCCACUUCUGGAUCUCAGCGACUGAUGCAUGGAAGGAUAUACAAUCCAAUUCACAGACACAUAGGAAUGUAAAACUGGAAAAGACCACCUGGGUUAUUGUGUCCAAACCUACACUAGACAGGGCUUCUGAUAUCUGUAUUUAGAUCCCAUAGCAAUUAGCACUGUACAAGGACAUAUGGUAGAUAAGAACAUGCAAUUUAAAGAUGCUCCCUAACUAAGAAGACUACAGAGUUUGAGAAUGGGGAUAUGGUCCCUGUGUCGGGU
rnacentral:lncRNA from 1 species